AGAACGAACGCUGGCGGCAUGCCUAAUACAUGCAAGUCGAACGAACUCUUCGGAGUUAGUGGCGCACGGGUGCGUAACGCGUGGGAAUCUGCCCCUUGGUUCGGAAUAACAGUUGGAAACGACUGCUAAUACCGGAUGAUGACGAAAGUCCAAAGACUUAUCGCCAAGGGAUGAGCCCGCGUAGGAUUAGCUAGUUGGUGAGGUAAAGGCUCACCAAGGCAACGAUCCUUAGCUGGUCUGAGAGGAUGAUCAGCCACACUGGGACUGAGACACGGCCCAGACUCCGUACGGGAGGCAGCAGGUAGGGAAUAGUUGGACAAGUGGGACGAAAGCCUAG
rnacentral:rRNA from 1 species